rnacentral:tRNA from 1 species
UAUUUAAAUAGUUUAAUAAAAAUAUUGAUUUGUGGUGUCAAUGAUAUGAAUUUUCAUUUUAGAUC